CCUACGGGUGGCAGCAGUGGGGAAUAUUGGACAAUGGGCGAAAGCCUGAUCCAGCCAUGCCGCGUGUGUGAAGAAGGCCUUCGGGUUGUAAAGCACUUUCAGUGGGGAAGAAAGCCUUGGGGCUAAUACCCUCGAGGAAGGACAUCACCCACAGAAGAAGCACCGGCUAACUCCGUGCCAGCAGCCGCGGUAAUACGGAGGGUGCGAGCGUUAAUCGGAAUUACUGGGCGUAAAGCGCGCGUAGGCGGUCUGAUAAGCCGGUUGUGAAAGCCCCGGGCUCAACCUGGGAACGGCAACCGGAACUGUCAGGCUAGAGUGCAGGAGAGGAAGGUAGAAUUCCCGGUGUAGCGGUGAAAUGCGUAGAGAUCGGGAGGAAUACCAGUGGCGAAGGCGGCCUUCUGGACUGACACUGACGCUGAGGUGCGAAAGCGUGGGUAGCAAACAGGAUUAGAUACCCCUGUAGUC
rnacentral:rRNA from 1 species